CAGGAAGCACAUGUAUAUUUCUUUUAUUUAUAGGUAGAGUUUAAUUUUUGCAGAAUUAAGUAUUUGGGAAGAAUAAAAGGAAAGAAAGGGGAUGUAUCUGGUAGUGGAGUGUGUUUAAUUAUGUGUAUGCAUGGUGGAAGAACGAAUAAUCAACUCCAUCGGAUCACACCUCUGUAUAACGGUGGCGCACCAGAGACCUUCAGCUUCAGGUUCCGCUUCGGGCCAAGAAGACCCGGAAGACCCUUUCACCCCAAGGGAUGUGCAAGUGCAAGGGGGUACUGUAGGUUCGGUUCCGACCCAUGUGCUGUCACCCUCUUCCUCUGCCCAAACCAACACGGAGUGGGUCCCGGCAAGUGGUUUUCCCAUGGCGCCACGUUUUAUGCAUGCGCCUUCUCCAGGUUUGUCUUCUUCUCCCGGGCCUCCUCUUUUGGGCUCGGGCUCGGUUGGGCAGAAAAGAGCGCGUGAAGAUGACACUACUUCUGCGGCGAGUGGGGGUGAGGGUGGUUCGUCACAGACUGCGUCACAGGAAGAAAGCGGCGAGAGGAGGAGGAGAUACAGAGGGGUGAGGCAGAGGCCGUGGGGGAAAUGGGCGGCGGAGAUUCGCGAUCCUCACAAAGCGGCGAGAGUGUGGCUUGGCACCUUCGACACCGCCGAGGCUGCUGCCAGAGCCUACGAUGAGGCCGCAUUGAGGUUUAGAGGUAACAGAGCCAAACUCAACUUCCCCGAAAACGUUACUGCGGUUCGACCUCCUCACCUUCCCGAUUUUCCGGCCACCUCACUCUCGGGCUCCGUUGAUGUUCCAGCAGUAACUGGUUAUUCUCCGACGGUGAUGCAGGGGGCGCCGUUUCAGAGCUCCCCUGAUUUGCUUAGAGACUAUUGGGGUUAUUCUCAGCUUCUGCGGAGCACAGGGGAGUUCCAUGGACUCGAGCAGUGGUUCUAUGAUUCGCAAAUGGCAGCGCUUCAAUCUUCUUCAUCGUCGUUGUUGCCGCCACCGCCUUCGUAUGCACCAUCCUCGGCUUCCUUUCCUCUGUUUUCAAGUCAGCAAAUGGGAGUUUUCCGGCCGCCGGGGCAACAGCAUCACGGCGGAGGAGACAGUGGUAGCGGGUCAGAGUUUCCACCUUCGUCAUGGUCAGAUACAAGUAGUUAUCCUCCUCCACCUCCACCACCCGGUUGACGUGGAGUACACAGCACAGCCUUUGUUUUUAUACUAUUUUUUCUCUUUCUUUUGUGAAAGAAAGAACAGAAGUUGAAAAAUGGGUGGGUGAUGAUAAAGGUAGAUAGAAAGAUUGAGUGGUAGAAGGCUACAUUUUGAAGCUUAGUUCAGAGAUGAUAAAGACAAAGCAGCAUUUAGGUUUGAAGAUGAGAUUAUUCCAAAUUCUCAACUUAAUGGAUCGAUUUGAUAUAAACUUUUUGUCAACAAUCCACGCAAAGAUGAAGAAACCAACUUUUUGUUCUCAGAC